rnacentral:rRNA from 1 species
UAAAAUUUAAAAUUAAAAUAUUAAAAUAGUAAAUAAUUAUUUAUUAAAACUUAAAUAAUUUGGCGGUAUUUUAGUUCAUUUAGAGGAAUCUGUUUAAUAAUUGAUAUUCCACGAAUAAAUUUACUUAAUUUAUAAUUUUGUAUAUCGUUGUUAUAAAAAUAUUUUAUAAUAAGAUUAAUAUUUUAAAAUUAUUAUAAAAAUUAAAUCAGAUCAAGAUGCAGAUUAUAAUUAAGAAUAUAAUGGAUUACAAUAAAUUUAUUUAAAUGAAUAUUAAUUUGUAAAAAUUAAUUGAAAGUGGAUUUAAAUGUAAUUUUAUUUAAUUUAAUAUAAUGAUUAAAAAUUAAAAUAUGU